GGACCAUAGCUCAGUGGAGGAGCAUCUGCUUUGCAUGUAGAAGGUUUUGGGUUCAACCCCUGGCAUCUCCA